AUUUGUAAAACUGCACAGCGAUAGUAGGUUCCGAGACUUUCUCACUGAAGGAGAUCCCCACCCGCAAACAGCAGGAAACUUAUGCCUUGGGCAUUAUUUCUCUCUUUCCUAGCCUGAGAGACCAGUUUUUAACAAAGGGCUAUGAGCAUUUCUACGUUCCG